rnacentral:rRNA from 1 species
UCCUACGGGACGCAGCAGUCGAGAAUCAUUCACAAUGGGGGAAACCCUGAUGGGGAAACGCCGCGUGGGGGAAUGAAGGUCUUCGGAUUGUAAACCCCUGUCAUGUGGGAGCAAAUUAAAAAGAUAGUACCACAAGAGGAAGAAACGGCUAACUCUGUGCCAGCAGCCGCGGUAAUACAGAGGGCUCAAGCGUUGUUCGGAAUCACUGGGCGUAAAGCGUGCGUAGGCUGUUUCGUAAGUCGGGUGUGAAAGGCGCGGGCUCAACCCGCGGACGGCAAAUGA